GAUGAAGAACGUAGCGAAAUGCGAUAAGUAAUGUGAAUUGCAGAAUUUAGUGAAUCAUCGAAUCUUUGAACGCACAUUGCGCCCCUUGGUAUUCCGAGGGGCAUGCCUGUUCGAGCGUCAUUUCAACCCUCAAGCACAGCUUGGUCUUGGGCUUCGCCGCUAACCCGGCGGGUCUUAAAAUCAGUGGCGGUGCCGUCGGGCCCUGAGCGCAGUAAUCUCUCUCGCUAUAGGGUCCCGGCGGAUGCUGGCCAGUAACCCCCAAUUUUCUAUGGUUGACCUCGGAUCAGGUAGGGAUACCCGCUGAACUUAAGCAUAUCAAUAAGCGGAGGA
rnacentral:misc_RNA from 1 species